GUGCAGCAGCUGUGGUGGGAUAUGGAGAUAUCUUGUGGACUGCUAGAAAGAAAGAGUAGUAUCCUAGCUUGCAAAGAAAGCUUUAAUGUUUCACUACUACUGAUAACUGGAAACAGAGAAUAUCUUCAUAGGGGUGUUAUCUCAGAACCAUUGCCUAUGACCUUCUACAGAUGUGCUCAUUUCUCUGCGUUCAGCACUUCCGAGGUUGGAACAGGCAAGGUAAGGUAAGGAUUGGAGUUGCAGAAAUAUGUUCUAUUUUCCUCUGUUUGCUAGAAGCUCCCAGGGGUUGACCAGAACUGCAGAGAAAUGGUUUCCUUGCAGUUUCUCAACAUACAAAAGCUAAUUUUCUGGAAAAUUUCAUUCGCAAACUGGCAUCGGGUUUAAAUGCUGAAGAGGAAAAACAUGACAUUUUCAUGCUUUCAAAGCACC
rnacentral:lncRNA from 1 species